GAGAACGGAGAUCAGACAAAGGAGCCUGCUUGUUUCUCCACUGUGAUUCCUGGGUGGUUCUCUGAAAUGAGUCCCAUGUGGCCAGGUGAGGCACACUCUUUGAAGGUUGAGAAAGUUU